GGUGAGGCGAGCGAUCUCCUCCGGCGGGGGCGAGGGGUGCCUCCUGCCCGCUGGCCGCCCGGGGCUGGCGGGACGGGAAGCUGCGAAGCGGCCGCGCCGGAGAGUUCCCUGAGAGCCGGUAGAAGGGAAGAGGGGACGGAGGCGGGCACCCCCCAGGCGCGGCCACCGGGCGCCUCCCCGACUCGCCAGAGCUCCCCCGGCCCCGCUCGGCUGCUCCCAGCUCCAGCCCCUCCCCUGAAGCCUGUGCUGUAGCCGCAGGCAGCCCCCGAGCCCUUUUGUGAGGGCAGCAAGCCGGCCCUCUGAUGUUCUCUAGUCUCCCUUAACGUGGGUGCCGUUAGCAGCGGUGCAGGGAAUGAGUGGUGUCUGCGGAAGCCCCUGAGGAAGGAGGGGCUCCGGCCAGGGUCAAGCUACGGUAAUAACGGUCACUGCUGCCUCUUUCCCUCUCCCAGAGGCCAGGCUGUGGAUGCGGUUGUCUGUUCGUCCCCUGGGGAUGCCGUUGACUGCAGCAGCCUCAGGCUUGCGUGGGCUGUCUCUGCCUGGUCUCCCUCUCCUCGCAGCGUGGGAGCAAAAAGGGACAGGCAGAGCACUUAGCAGCUGUGGACAGGAGCUGCUGAAGCUGGAGAGGCCACAGAAAGCUAAAGAAGAAGAAAUGGAAGGCUGUCUGGCCGGCAGCUGCCUCCCGCUGCAGGCAAGAGAGAGCCUGCCUCUCUAGUUGUGGAAGGAUCCCUCUUUGUAGUCCACAGCAGGUGGAGGACAGCCAAGCGACUGGAGUUACAGAAGAGGAAGGGAGGAGAGAAGGAGAAAGAAGCAUCUGAACUGACAAAGUCUCCUGGCAGCUCCAGUAGUGAGAACUGCAGUGGAUGUCAGCUGGCACCAUUUCACCGUGGUUGCCCUUUCUUCUGCCAUGACGGUACAAGACAGAUGAAAAGAAUCCAUAGGGUCUGCAAGUACAAUGUACGCCUAUGAUGUGUGUCUGCAUUUUUCCAAAGGUUUUCCCAGGAAGCAUUAGCAGCCUUGUAACUAGUGACAGCAAGUCCUGAGGUGAUUUUGGUAAGUUACUGCUUCAGUAAUGUAUUUUUAUUGGAUGUAUAUAAAUGUGGGCACACCUUUUUAGUAUAAAGUGAAUUAUUGAGAUUUAUUCUUUAUUUUUCAUUUUGCUCUUUGAAGUUUUCCACUUCACUUUCAGCUUUAUUCACCAAACAAGCAAGAUGCAAAGCAGCAGCGCGAGGGCUGUAGCUGUUGUGGUGGAUCCAUAAGGAUAGAUUCUGAUUGUGUAUGACCUUGUCCCGCAGCCUCCCAGGCUUAUCUCCCUGCAGCAGUGCUGUAAGGAAGGGAGGAGACGUUUUCCAACACCGGCAAGAGUGUUUACUUGUAUGCUAAGAAGGUGUUCAAAAUCAUAUCAAUUAGCCUAAAUGCUGAUUUUAAGAGUUCAAAUCGCUCUAACUUUUAAAGGAGGUGUUGUAUUUCAAGCUGACCUGUUUACCUGCAAUCCUCCUUUAGCUCAACUACUUUUCUUGUGCACCCCCAGCCUCUGCUGGCAGGGCAGUAUGAGAAGCUGGAAAGUGCUUGACUUAGUAUAAACACUGCUUAGCAACAACUAAAAAC